rnacentral:tRNA from 1 species
GUUAUAAUAGCUUAAAUAUUAAAAGCCUCGGUCUUGUAAACCGAAGAUUGAGGUAAUCUCUUAUAACU